GAUGAACGCUGGCGGCGUGCCUAAUACAUGCAAGUCGAGCGAACGGACGAGAAGCUUGCUUCUCUGAUGUUAGCGGCGGACGGGUGAGUAACACGUGGAUAACCUACCUAUAAGACUGGGAUAACUUCGGGAAACCGGAGCUAAUACCGGAUAAUAUUUUGAACCGCAUGGUUCAAAAGUGAAAGACGGUCUUGCUGUCACUUAUAGAUGGAUCCGCGCUGCAUUAGCUAGUUGGUACGGUAACGGCUUACCAAGGCAACGAUGCAUAGCCGACCGGAGAGGGUGAUCGGCCACACUGGAGCUGGACCACGGUCCAGACUCCUACGGGAGGCAGCAGUAGGGAAUCUUCCGCAGUGGGCGAAAGCCUGACGGAGCAACGCCGCGUGAGUGAUGAAGGUCUUCGGAUCGUAAAACUCUGUUAUUAGGGAAGAACAUAUGUGUAAGUAACUGUGCACAUCUUGACGGUACCUAAUCAGAAAGCCACGGCUAACUACGUG
rnacentral:rRNA from 1 species